rnacentral:lncRNA from 1 species
UUUUUUUUUUUUUCAAGUAGUUUGAGACAGAGAGGAGAAGUAGCAAGAGGGUAAAUGAGAAGCUGGUAUCAAUUUUGUGUGAUAAAAAAUCUUUAACUGAAAUACCGAAAUGCCAGAAAUUAACAUGGAAUUUUAUUUUGUCUAUAUGCUGUAAAGUAGUGAAUACUGACCCUCCCUUCAUAUUUUGGGUCAAGACUAGCAUGUCUGACAUAAAAUGGCAGACUACUUUCUUGCACCGGUUUCAUCAAGUUUACGGAAGGAAUGUCUUACUUAGUUUGUUGCUUCUUGAAAUUACAUAAUACACUUCAAAACUUCCAUCCUUUGUUCUUUAUAGAACAGGAUGCCACCUAGGUUGUUAAAUCCUGGAAGCCAAGCUAAAACAAAUCUUCAUUUGUCCUAUUCAUCCUAGGACUAGCUAGCAUGAAUUAUAAAAAAAUCUUAUAAUUAUUACAUUUAUGUGAAAAAUUCUCAAUUAUUUUUUUUUAAUCCACAACUCUAAAAAAGUUAAAAAGCCAAUUUAUCUUAAUUUCUCAAUGGGAUCAUUUUACAAGUUUCAAAGACUAUCUCAAUUCUUCUUAUCUGUUUUCAUAAUUGCUUCCUUCUGUCUAGACCACUGUCUUCUCAACUGUUUUUCCAUGUGUUCAACCUUCUUCCUCUUGCAGUCGUCAUCCCACACGGAAAGCUUUCCUUGACAUCCCGCUGCCUCCAAGUUUUGCUAAGAUACAUUUCCUAGAUGCUCUAGAAGUUCUGCGUACUUCGCGAGCUGUUCACCAGACUGCUUCUUUUCCUCCGGUUACAAAAUCACACUGAGUUUUGCAGCUCGAUAUGCGCACGUGACUGAAUUCUUCACAAUGGAAUGAAGCUAGAUGUAAAUCACGGCACCAUCAGAGCUGGCCUUGAAAUCAUCUGGUGCAUGCUCCCUCAUGUCAUGUUUGCUCAUUACAGGUAAAAUCCCUGAGGACCUGGAGGAGGAAGGAUCCAGAACAGCAAGAGCCUGUACUUCCACCUAGAUCUCAGGAUCACCCCUCAGGCCUCACCCCUCAACUAACAAAGUCUGUUGAGAGUAGAAAGUUGAGCAUCCAUCAUCCCACCCUGACUAGGAACAUCUAUUGGAGUUCUGUGUAAAUGAGAGUUAAAUUUCAGUUCUUCGUGACAUUGAACUCUGUAUUGCUUGCUGUAGUCCUCAGCCUGCCCAGACUGUGACUGCUCUGUCGGUCCGCCCCUCCCACGACGUACACCCACACGCUGGGCUUUGUCGUGUUCCAGGCUCCAGCUGAGCCUGGCACAGCAUACACCGCAUAGCUAUCCUCCCCCUCUUUCUUAAUAAUUUGAAUCUUACAGUAAGAUGUACCAUGAAAAUUUCAUAGGAAACGCUACUCUAAAUAGUUAUUCCUUUGGAGGGAAAUGCAAGGAUUCAUUUAGCCCAGGCUUCGAAAUACCUCCCCAUAAAUACCAUAAAGGUAAAAUCUGAUUUUGCUCAGGAAUUCAAAGCAAGUGUAAACAUCGAAACGUUUUUGGCAAAACUGCUUUUGUAGGCUUCGAUUUGCAGUUUUUCCUACAAU